UAUUUGCAUAGUUUCCAAUGUUCUUUUUGGUAUUGAUUUCUAGUUUUAUUCCAUUAUGUUUUGAUAAGAUACUUCGUAUGAUUUUCAUUUUUAAAAAUUUGUUGAGACUCAUUUUGUGGCCUAACAUUGUCUAUCUUGGAGAAGGUUUUAUGUGCUGACAAGAAGGAUACAUAUUCUUCCGUUGUUGAAUGAAAUGUUCUGCAAAUGUAUGUUAGGUCCAUUUGAUCGAAAGUAGAGUUUAAAUCCAAUGUUUUGUUGAAGAUUUUUCUGUCUGUAUUAUCUGUCUAAUAAUGAGAGUGGUAUGUCAAAAUCCCAAACUGUUGUAUUAACAUCUAUUAAUAUCUCUCCCCUUAGCUCUAAUAUUUACUUUAUGUAUAUGGGUUCUGUGGCAUUGGGUACAUAUAUAUUUUAAAUUGUUAUAUUCUCUUGCUGAAUUGAUCCCUUUAUUAUUAUGUAAUGACUUUGUUUUUAGUGUUUUUGACUUGAGUUCUAUUUUAGCUUAUAUAAAUGUAGUUACUUUUGCUUGUUUUUGGGUUUUGUUCACGUGGCAUGUCUUUUUCCAUACCUUUAGUUUAUAUGUAUGUUUAGAGGUGAAAUACAUUUCUUGUAGGCAGCAAGAUGGUUCAUGGUUUUUAAAAUUCAUCCUGCUAGUCUAUACCUUUUAAGUGGAUAGUUCAAUUCAUUUACAUUCAAGGUUAUUACUGAUAGGUAGGGACUUACUUCAGUCAUUUUGUUAUUUAUCUUCUGGUUGUUUUGCAUAUCUUUUGUUUCUUUCUCUUUUAUUUUUUAUUGUAGUUAAACAAUAGCUACUUAGUCUUUAUGUUUUGCUCACAUUUGAGUUUUUUCUCCAUCUAAUUUUUGUAUCUGUUCUACCAGCAAGUUUUAUACUUUUGUGAUGAUAAAUAUUGUCUUUUCCCCCUUCCAUAUGUAGGAUUCCUUUAAGCAUUUUUUUUUUGUGGGUCUGGCCUAAUGGGGAUGAGCUUUGUUAGUUUUUAUUUGUCUGCUAAAGAUUUUAUUUAUCUUACAUUUUGAAGGAUAGAUUUGCUGGACAUAGUAUUCUUGGCUCACAGGUUUUUGCUGCUGUUUUCUUUUUCUUUUAGCACUUCAAAUAUAUCAUCCAAUUGUCUUCUGACUUGUAGAGCUUCUGCUGAGAAAUCCAGUUAGGCUGAUGAUCAUUUCCUUAUAUGUAGUUUGACACUUUUUAAAAAAAUUACUGUUAUAGAAUUCUCUCUUUUACUCUGAUUUUUGACCGUUUGACUAGAAUGUGCUUUGGAGAAGACCUUUUUGAGUUGUAUUUGUGUUGGAAUAUUUGAGGUUUCUGUUUCUGUAGUCUAAAGAGCUUGCAAAACUUAGGAAUUUUUUAGCUAUUAUUUUAUCACAUAGUUUUUCUAUGCUGUUUUCUAUCUCUUCUACUUCUGGAACACCCAGAAUUUGAAUAUUUGCUCUCUUUAUGGUGUCUGAUAUAUUAUAGAAGCUUUUUUCAUUUUUUAUUUUUAUCUGACUGGAUUAUUUCAAAGACCCUUCCUCAAUUUCUAAAAUUCUGUCUUCUGCUUUAUAUAGUCUGUUAUCGAAGUUCUUGAAUUUUUAUUCCAUUCAUUUAAUUCUUCAGUUCCAGAUUUUCCAUUUGAUCCUCCUUAGUGAUAGCUGUCUCUUUGUUGAAAUUCUCAUUGAGAUGAUGAGUUAUGUUUCUGAUUCCUUUGUUUUGUUCAUCUGUAUUCUCUUACGUUUCACUGAGCCUCUUUAAUGUCAUGACUUUGACUUUUUUACAAAUAUCUUUGAAUUCUUUUUUGUUGGAAUCUAUUACUAGAUAAUUAUUUUCUUCCUUUGGUUGUGUCAUUGUUUUUUUUUUUUUUUGCCUUUUCAUUUUUCUUGUGUCCUUACGUCGAUGUCUAUGCAUCUUGUGUAACUGGCACUUCUUCCUGUUUUUCAGAUUAGGUUUCUUAGGGCGAGACCUUUUCCUGUAGAUGUAUAUGUAGUGUUGGUUGAGUAGGGCACUUCAGCUUUGAUUUUGGGCUUGUGCAGUAGUAUAGUUUCUGUAUGAUUUAUUUGACUGCAGUCGGCAUCAGUGGUACCUGUGAUUUCCUCUGUGGCUUAGGAUGUGGUAGUUAAUGGAGGCAUUGGUUACAUUUUGCUGGGGGAUGGAGAUGCCAGCCACUGUUCAGCUCCCACGUGGCAUAUGCUGAUGCUAGCAGUGGUAAUGAUGUUCUGAGCAUGCCAGUCUCCAGGCCCCAAGGUAGCAUGUAUGGGUGGAUAGAGCAGGAGAAUCCCCAGGUCCUGAAACAGUGUGCUUGGCUGCUGGUGGCAGGUAGGAUUUGUCUUUUGUCAGGGUUUCUGAUGAUUUAUGUGCUUGUUCAGGGUGAUAGGUGGAGUGGGCUAGUCACCAGACCCCCAGGCAGUAUUCAGGGGCAGUGGGGGUUGGGGUGGGCUGGGUCCCAUGUCAGGCCUCAUGGUGCGUAUGUGUGCCUGGGGCAACAGACAUGUUGAGAUGAACCCCAGCCCUUGGGAGGUAUGCUUAGACACCUAGAGGGGUGACUCCAGGUGAAGCAGGCCUUUCCUCAGACUUUCUAAUGGUGCACAUGGGCACAGGCUAUGGUGGGUGGAGCAGGUUCCUGUGUGGUGUGCUCAGUGGCAGCAGCAGUGGGCAAGAUGAGCCUAUUCUCAAGCCCUGGGGUGGUAUCCUAGAGGGCUGGUCCAGGCCCACUGAAGACACCUGCACAUACAUGGCAGCCCUCUGACUGUGGGGUAGGGCGGGUGCAGGGUUGCUGUUGGUGGCAGCAUCCCCAGGCGGCAGGGAGGCAACUCUCAGACUCUGGGGAGUGCAUGUUUCAGCUCCGUUUGUCCCAGGAGCAGCCUCCCCAGCUUGUUUUCAUGGUGUGGGACACUGCAUGGGCUAGAGUGCUGGAACCUGGCCACAUCGUGGUUCCAGCUGGCAUUGCAUUGCUGCAACCCUCUGGGUGGAUACUGAGGGAUGUCAGCAGGUCUCCAGGGAUGUAGAGAUUUAGGGGAUGUUGGGCCCCAUGGCAAAAUGCGGUCUGGUGGGAGCUGGGUGCUCAAAAUGCCAUUCUGCAGCUGCUUGGGUCUUAGGGGAAUGUUGGGACCCAGUGUGAAUUCCCUGUCUUGAGCAGUGCCAUUGCCCAGACUCCAGGCAGCUCACUCUGCUAGUCUCAGGGCCUGUAAGAGAAGAGUGGCUCUCCCACGGCUAGGGCUUUAAGGGUCCCCAGUGGGAGUGUGGACUACUGUCCCUACACUGGGGAGCCUCUCCGGACUCCGAGCUGAUCCUGCCUCGGCAGCAGUGGCUGCCUCACUGCUCUCUCUCUCUGUGCCUCGGAUGUUCUCUGUCCCUUCCCUGCUGAAUCCCGGGGUUCUCUCUUAAAUGCUCUACGAAACACAUGAUUAUCUCCUUGCUGUUUUGGUCCUUCCUCGUGGAAACGUGUGUGUGCCUCUAGUCAGCCACCCUGAAAGCCUCCCAGACAGUUGUAGUUUUACUGCACUAUGAUCAGCAAAUGUUGGGAGUAUCAUUUCUACUUUUUAAAAUGUAUUGAAAUUACCUUGAGCCUUCUCUAUUCAAUUUUCACGAUUUAUAAUGUGCUCCUGAAAAGAUGCAUAUUGGCUUUCUCUCAUGACAGGGACUGGUAGAGGCAGGCCUUCCACUGUUAGUGACAGUAAAACUCAACAGAGCAUGUGAAGCAACUGUUUUCACGCAACCUGAAAAUGGAAAAUAAAGUCUUGAAAGUAUUCAUAGAGAAACUGGUAAUGACAUCGAGGAGGGCACGCAAUACAAAUGAUAGCUGACCUCUUGUCAAAAUCAACAGAGGCCAGAAAAGCAGGAAAACAUCUUUUAACAUAGACAGAAUAGGGCUGUGGUCCUUGGGAGAAGUGAAACACAUGAGGUGAACGUUGUGUUCACUCUGGCCUUUCUUUUUUUUGGCCCAGGGCGGUAAGUAGAGUCCAGGUAGAAACAGAGGCCUUGUUGAGCUGGGAAGGAGGAGAGCAGUGGUUAGGGAUGUGCGCUAGUGGGGAUUCACAGGGCAGGGCCUAAGGGAGGAUUGAGUUUCAUAGAGGAACGGAGCCCAGAAACCUACGGAGUUUUCCACAGGUUUUUGGUGAAGGCUGGGCUGUACCUGCACAGAGCAAGAUCAUGUCAGGCCUUGCAGAGGUAGAGUUGGAAGGCUGAGAGCUGAACUGGCAUGAUGGGCAGUGAUGAAAGACGUUGGAACUCCAGCCGCACCACAGUAGCAGUCCUUGCUGUGCACCUGAGUGUGCGUAAAACUAGCCCGACAUUAAGGGCCGCUAUAGACCUGCUUUAGAAUAUGGGUCACGUCCUAAAGUCAGGGCUAAGUCCUUCGUCUAAGGAUUAAAUCAAUAUAAAUCUGUCCUAACAGAAUAAAACUAAGCAUUUUGGGGUCAAACAAACCACUAGGCAUUUGACUGCCUACCAGAACAAAAGUCACCACUAAGAAGCAGGUGACAUAAUCCAGAUUCCCCACAGCAUAUUAUUCACAGUGGCUAGGAGAAACCAAAACUGAGGUAAUACAGAAAGAAUUUGAAGAAUAUUACUCAUAAUAAAAUAUCAGCUGAAACAAAACCCAAGAUUACCCAGAUGUUGGAAUUAACAGGCCAGAAAUUUGAAACAACUACACAAAUAUAUUCAAAGCCAAAAAGUAAACAUUGUAUGUGAAGAGGUAGAAAAUCUCAUCAGAGUAAUGAAUCUAUAAAGAAGAACCACAUAGAAGUCUCAAACUAAAAAGUUCAAUAUUUAAAACAAAAAAAAUCCCCGGCUGAGCUUUUCGGCAAAUUAAAAACCAUAGAAGAUUAAUAUAAAUUUUUCCAUGUGAAGGGCAGAGGAAAAAAAAGAUUAAAGAAAUGAAAAAGCAUCUCUGGCCUAUGGGACAAUUUCAGGGAUUCUAAUAUAUGUAUACUUGGAAUCCCAGAAACAGAAGAGAGAGAAUGGGGCAGAAAAAAGAAUUUAAAGAAGUAGUGGCCAAGAUAUCCCCAAAUUUGGUAAAGCAUGUUUGUCUACAGAUUUAGAAAUGUCAGAACACCCUUGGAAGAUUAAAAAGCAAAUAAACAAAAUUCAUCUAAGCACAAGAUAGUCAAACUCCUAAAAAUUGGAGAUAAAAAUCUUGAAAAUAUUUACAGAAAAAUUAUAUAUUAUGUAAAGUGUAAUGAACAAUACAAAUGGUGGCUGACCUCUGGUCAGAAAUAGCGGAGGCCAGAAAAGCAGAAAACCAUUUUAAAAGUUGCCAUCUGUAUUUUUAUAUCUCCAGAAAAUAUAUUUUAAAAUGAGGUUGAAAUAAGGACGUUUCACAUAAAUGACAGCUAAGAAAAUUUAUCAGCUGCAGACCUGCUUUACAUGAAAUGCUAAAUUAAGUUUUUCAGGCUAAAGCAAAGGAAUACCAGAUGAAAACGCAAACUCAAAUUUAGAGUAAGAAAUGACGUACACAAGAGAGAAUGCAAAUGUGGUUAAAUAUGAAAGAAUACCUUUUUUUGGUUACUCUGUAAUUACUUAAAAUAAAAUGGAUUAGGUGGGCUUCCAGAAAGGUGGAUUGAGAACCUCCAUAAUCUGUCCCACAAUAAAGCCAGUACUGGGUAAAUUGUGAAAUUUAAUAUUCAGAAUUCUGUCAAUUACCAAGUUAUCACCGGAUUGCAACAAAACAAGGAAAACGGAUGAGUCUUGGUAAGAACAGUGAGGCAGUGCCAGUGUGACUUAAUCUGACCCCAUUGUCUCUUUCAUACCACAUGUAGCCUUGAAAAUUAGCAACUUCGUAAACACUUUCACUGUGAAAACUAGCAGAAUUGAAGCUUCUGGAAUGGGCCACUUGGAUUUGGAUCCCUCCCCACAAAAAUGUCACUCCCAGAACAUUGCCACAAUUUGACCUGUCUCAUACCUCCCUGGAAAAACCCUACUCAUAAGUCAUUGUCACUAUUUGCCCUGAGCUGGAGCUCAUCUGAGGGGAAAAGUCAAUACUACUGGCAUUGAUAGCAAACAAUCAUUGACGAUUUUUAAACAUCAUAGCUUGAAGUUGAGAGACCAUCUGGUGCAAAGAAGAGUUUGUCAAGAAACUUAAAAGGAAGUUGUAGGGAAUGAAAUAUCCACUGGAGACUUUGCAAAACACUUAAUGUAUUCCUGGGGAAUAUAGAAGCCUAUGUUCAUGCAUAGGGCUGUACAUAUGACCAAGAAAGACCUGAAGAGGACCCCGUCUCUCUCUUCUGGCCAAUGUUGAGGCCCUGUGCAGAAUUGUAAAUUGCCUAAAUGUUGGAGGUGUGCUGCAACACAUAUACACAGCUCUUUGGCAAAGGGUGAAAGACUUACUGAUUUAAGGCAUUUAAGGAAAUGUCUGGCCAGUCGUUAGCUGGCCACUGAGCUAAAUGAACAGACCCUUCUGUGGCCAGACGCUACAGGAAUAUAGACUUUACAGUAUUAGCACAAAAGUGUCUUUGAACAGACAAGAAUAAAACAGCAGUAACAAAUAUCCUCAGUGGGAGGGUCGGAUAUCCAGUGUUGACGCAUUAUAUCAUCCAAGGUGUUCAGUUCUCAACAACAAAAUCACAAAGCAUGCCAAAAAGCAAAACUAGGAAAAUAUGGCAUAUACACAGGAAAUAAAGCAAGGCAAAGAAACUGUUUCUGAGAGGACCAGUGUGUGGGAUUUACUAGACAGAUUUUAAAUCAACUAUUAUAAGUAUCUGCAAAGAACUGCAGGAAACCAUGUCUGAAAGGAAAGUGUGAAAAUGGUGUCACACCAAGUAGAGAAUAUCAAUGAGAGGCAGAAAUUAUCAAAAUGAAUCAAACGGAAAUUCUGAAGUUGAACAAUAGAAUAACUGAAGUGAACAGUUUACUAAAGAAGGUCAAUGGUAGAUUUGAACUUGACAGAAAAAAAGAGCUAAUAUGAAAACAGGUCAUCACUUUUGACCUCACAGAAAUAAAAAGGAUUAUAAGGGCAUACUAUGGAAAAAUGUAUGCCAAUAAAUUAGAUAGCUUAGGUGGAAUUUCUAGAAAGACAAACUGUUAAAACUGACUGAAGAAGAAAUAGAAAAAAUGAAUAAACUUAUAACAAAGAGAUUGGAUUAGUAAUCACAAACAUCCCACAGAGAAUGUGACUACAAACAGGGAUAGUUCAUUAAAUGCAAGAAAAUAACCCAGAGGACUGUAUUUGGAGAUCAGAUACUGCAAUGUAUUCCCCAUCCCCUAAUGAUUCUGGCUUUUCCACACACAGUACAACAUUGUUCUAACACCCCCAGAUCUCAUCUUACGGGAUUAGUUUUGGGUUUCCUAACCAAGGUUCUUGCCAUCCAAAUUAAAUCUAGAUAUACAUGAGGCUCCUUGGGUACCUAUCCUCAGGUGCAGCUCCUUAAAUAUUGUUCCUUUCAGUUUUGAUGACCUGUGAACCAAGGACACAGACCAUCGCUCCUUCCCAUUCCCCGACUACAGUGAUGAGACACAGAAAGAAACACCACCACAGACACACAUGGCACCUGACAGUCACUGAUCCAUGGCAGUGUUGGAAACUUGAUGGCAAGUUCUCUUUGUUCUACGGGAGAAAUAUGAUUUACUUCAGGCAAAGUUCUGCUCCUUGGGGAUGCUUCUCUGUGGCUCUUCUUUACGCUCUCUGAACCUUCUUCCUUUUAAUAAUAAUGGCUCAUAGUUGUAGUUGAGUAGAUUUCUCAGCCUGAUUCCUGUCCGUAGAAGUUUAGGGGACCUUGAGACCUCUUUGCAUUCUGAAAAGAAUUGUCCCUGUCAAGCUGGAGGUGCUUCUGAUGAUACAAUUCAAUUAAAAACUUUGUUUGCUGUAAAUUACUGCUGUUUAUUCCAUUAAACAAAAAUCCUACCCGUAAACUUCUUCAAAAUAGUCUCUUCUCCAACUUUGGCUGACAGUUAGGAUACUGUCGAACAAUGAUUUUAAGAUUCUUAGAGAUUCUAUUGACUGGCCGAGAUAGUGGAUGAGGAGUCAGAUGCCUAAAAUUGAGAUGACAGAGGCGUGUAGCUCCUGGCUCAUGAAAGCAUGGGAUUAUAUAACAGAUGGGUUGGAGGACAGAAGUCCCAGAGGAGGACGGGAGCUUCGGCAGUUGCAAGGUCAGGCAUGAAAGGAUUGUCUGUAAUGUGAUGGAGGUAGCAACUAAAGUUUUGCAUUCAGUAGUUAGAGUCAGAGUUCCUGAGGGACCACAGGUGGAUUUACCAUGAAGCCAGUGAAGCUUAAGUGGCAGGGGUCCUUGUUUAUACAGGGGCAAUUUAACAUUCCUAAUUUUGUUUACUUCCUAUAGUCCAUCCCUGUUCCCCAAAUGUAUGUGCUUCAGUUUUCACAAAACCUAGACACAUUCUAGGUUUUAUGGAGUGAAGUAGAAACCACACAAAUAAUUGUGGCAGUAGUAGUGCUGGGGGUGGGGUAAUAGUGAAUUUCGGAAAAUAAGGUGGAGGGAUUUCAUAGUGUGAGGACGAUGGCAUCUUGGGGAGAGCAAGUAGGGGGUUCAGGCUAGUGAUCUGAGAUUCAGUGAACUAUAGCCUGCUGUCAGCUGCUUCCUUUUACAAAUACAGUUUUCUUGGAACAUAGACAUGUCCGCUGAUUUGAGUAUUCAUUAUGGCUGGUUUUAUGCUAUAAUGGCAGUAUUAAAUAGUUGAGAUGAAGAUUGCAUGGCACACAAAGCCGAAAGUACAGUUGCUCCCUUGAGCAACACGGUUCGAGCUGCACGGGUCCACUUAUAUGCGGAUUUAUUUCAGUAAAUAUGUCAGACCAAUUUUAGAAGAUUUAUGACAAUUUGUAAAACCUCACAGAAAAACCACCUAGCCUAGAAAUACUGAAAAAAAACUAAGAAAAAGAUAUGUCAUGAAUGCAUAAAAUCUAUGUGGAUACUAGUCUGUGUUAUCAUUGACUGCCAUAAAAUAGAUACAAAUCUAAAGUUCGUAUCUUUUUUAAAUAUAUAAAAGAAAAUACAUAAAAUGAAAAGUUAAACUUUAUCAAAACUCAUGCAUACACAUGCUUCUAGGCCAUAUAUGGCGUCAUUUUCUCCAUAAAUUCCACACAGGACAUUUACGGGAGAAAUAUAAACAAAUGUAAAAACGCAGUGUUAAAUCAUACCUGCGUAAAAUUAGCUGUGAUACAUACUUUACUGCUAUAAUAAUAAUGUAGCUACCUCCUGUUGCACAUGUGCUGGGCUGAGGCGUUGUAAGACGCAUCUAACAUAUCUCGUGAUGUUGAUCAUCUCCCAUGAGCAGCACUGUCUCUAGCGAGUUGCAUAUCAUGGUAAAAAGGAUCUGUCAGGGUUCUCUUAUAUUUCUCAUUGUGGUUAGUGUAAUACCGUAAUCCUUAAAUAGCACCAUGGGACCCAUAUGAAAUGCCACUAGUGAUGCUAAAAGUGCCCCCAAGAAGCAGCGAAAAGUCAAGACGUUAUAAUAAAAAGUUGAAUUCUUUGACGUGUGUUGUAGAGUGACGUUUGCAGCUGUUGCCUGCCAUUUCAAGAUAAAUGAAUCCAGUGUAAGGGGCAUGUAGGGGGUGGGAGGAAAAGGAAAGGAAAUUCAUGAUGCUGCUGCUGUGGCCACACCGACAGGCGUGAAAACUUUUUGGGAUCUAGUCUGUAAUCUCACAUUGAAGAUGCAGCUUUUACGCUGGUGCAAGAUUACUGGAAGAAAGGCAUAUUUGUAGACUCUAAUGCGAUUAUAGAAAAAGCAGUCAUUACAUGACAACUUAAAGCAAAAGGAAGAUGAAGGAUCUAAAGCUGGAGAAUUUAAUGGCAGCAAAGGACGGUGUGAUAAUUUCAGAAAGAGGUUUGGCUCUGAAAAUGUCAGUGUAACAAACAGGAGAAGGAAAUUCUGCUGACCAAGAGGCAGCAGAGGCGUUCCCAGGCACCAUUCAGAAAAUCAUUGAUGAGAAGGCAUAUCUGCCUGAACAGGUUUUUAAUGCAGAUGAAAAUGCCCUAUUUU